ACGAUAAAGCAAAUAUCCCCACUCACGCCGAGAUCCUCCUCCAAGAUGUAGCCCGGGUCAAGUCCAUCCACUCAAAACUUGCCAAGAGCCUAGGCUCUACCAAAGUCGACCAGACUGAUGCAGCCAAUAUCCCUGCCAAGGAUGGCAGCGUGGUGGGGUCGGGCAAUUACGUAGUUACCGUGGGUCUAGGUACCCCGAAGAAAGAUUUAACUCUCAUAUUUGAUACUGGAAGUGACAUUACAUGGACACAAUGUCAGCCUUGUGUAGGAACUUGCUAUAAACAGCAAGAUCCUGUUUUUGCCCCAUCCUUGUCCUCAACAUAUUCCAACAUUUCAUGCAGCUCAACUACCUGCAAUUCACUGGCUUCUGCAACAGGUAACUUUCAUCGAUUUUGUUGCAUAUCUUUCAAGCCUGGAUUCAAAUAACUAGAUAAUUCGUUGUUAUUAUAUACUUUCAGGUAACACACCUGGCUGUUCAUCAUCAGCUUGUGUCUAUGGCAUUCAAUAUGGAGACUCAUCUUUCUCAGUUGGAAUCUUUGCUAAAGAAAAGCUCACCUUGACAUCAACUGAUGUGUUC
rnacentral:lncRNA from 1 species